rnacentral:rRNA from 1 species
UGCGAAGGCAGCUUUCUGGAUCAUUACUGACACUGAGGAACGAAAGCAUGGGUAGCGAAGAGGAUUAGAUACCCUCGUAGUCCAUGCCGUAAACGAUGUGUGUUAGACGUUGGAAAUUUAUUUUCAGUGUCGCAGCGAAAGCAAUAAACACACCGCCUGGGGAGUACGACCGCAAGGUUAAAACUCAAAUGAAUUGACGGGGACCCGCACAAGUAGUGGAGCAUGUGGUUUAAUUCGAAGAUACGCGCAGAACCUUACCAACACUUGACAUGUUCGUCGCGACUUUAAGAGAUUAAAGUUUUCGGUUCGGCCGGACGAAACACAGGUGCUGCAUGGCUGUCGUCAGCUCGUGUCGUGAGAUGUUGGGUUAAGUCCCGCAACGAGCGCAACCCUCACUUUUAGUUGCCAUCAUUUAGUUGGGCACUCUGAAAGAACUGCCAGUGAUAAGCUGGAGGAAGGUGGGGAUGACGUCAAGUCCUCAUGGCCCUUACGUGUUGGGCUACACACGUGCUACAAUGGCAUUUACAAUAGGAAGCAAGACGGCGACGUUAAGCAAAUCCUAAAAAAAUGCCUCAGUUCGGAUUGUACUCUGCAACUCGAGUACAUGAAGCUGGAAUUACUAGUAAUCGCGGAUCAGCGCGCCGCGGUGAAUACGUUCCCGGGUCUUGUACACACCGCCCGUCACACCAUGGGAGUUGGUUCUACCUUAAGGCAAAGGUUAAAAACUUUGACCACGGUAUAGUCAGCGACUGGGGUGAAGUCGUAACAAGGUAGCCGUAGGGGAACCUGCGGCUG